CCACUUUCUCUCUUAGACAACCAUUUCUCUCUCUCUUUCGCUCUCUUUCUCGGCAAAACGGUCGAAUGGCUUCUCUCUCUCUCUCUCCCUUACUAAUUCUCCCGUCGCAACCGAGAGAAGCAAGCAACAACUACCCUUCGUCGGAUAGAGCUCCCCUCUCGAUCUCGCUCUCGCCUCCGGCGUUUCUCUGAUCCCCUGACCACGCCCCUUUCCCCUCACAACAAUCAUUAGCAAACGGUGAAACUGAGUCAGCCACGCUUCCUGCAGCGGAGGUUGCCAUCCUCGCAGCAGCUGCUCCUUGCCGCGAUCCUGAUGUUCGACCUCGUCGUGUUGAUCCUCUUCGCGCUCGACGUGUUAUCGUUCCCGAACAGCGGCGGCUCCUCCUCCGUUACUCCACUCCAAUAGACGAAGAAGUUGUCGUCGGCAGAUCCGUGUCGCUGGAGCUUAACUUUUACAGAUAUGAUAAUCCUCAACGUUUGUGAAGAGUUGUUGAGCUUGAUUGUUGAUCGAUUAAGCCUAAAUCGAUCGGAUUGCGCAAAAGAGUUGAAGACGACUCGAAGACCUUUCCAACGACCCAUAGAGCAUUCCGAUCUGAUGUCGUUUACUACCUGAAAAUAGCUCGGCAUUUAGCACCAGUUUCUGGAAAAUUGUUGUUUUCUGACUUGCUCUCUAUUUCGGAUGACCUUCUGUGCAAAUGACUUGAUAUCAGCUUGUAAAUGUAAUUUUCUGUGUUUGAAGUCCUCAUGAAAGUCGUAGUAUACUUCAUGGGCUUUUCAAUAAUAUAAAUUUUGCACC